rnacentral:rRNA from 1 species
ACGCUAGCUACAGGCUUAACACAUGCAAGUCGAGGGGAAACGGCAUUGAGUGCUUGCACUCUUUGGACGUCGACCGGCGCACGGGUGAGUAACGCGUAUCCAACCUUCCCAUAACUGAGGGAUAACCUGCCGAAAGGCAGACUAAUACCGCAUAUUCUUCGUUGACGGCAUCAAAUUUGAAGUAAAGAUUUAUCGGUAAUGGAUGGGGAUGCGUCUGAUUAGCUUGUUGGCGGGGUAACGGCCCACCAAGGCAACGAUCAGUAGGGGUUCUGAGAGGAAGGUCCCCCACAUUGGAACUGAGACACGGUCCAAACUCCUACGGGAGGCAGCAGUGAGGAAUAUUGGUCAAUGGACGGAAGUCUGAACCAGCCAAGUAGCGUGCAGGAUGACGGCCCUAUGGGUUGUAAACUGCUUUUGUAUGGGGAUAAAGUUAGGGACGUGUCCUUAUUUGCAGGUACCAUACGAACAAGGACCGGCUAAUUCCGUGCCAGCAGCCGCGGUAAUACGGAAGGUCCGGGCGUUAUCCGGAUUUAUUGGGUUUAAAGGGAGCGUGGGCUGGAGAUUAAGUGUGUUGUGAAAUGUAGACGCUCAACGUCUGACUUGCAGCGCAUACUGGUUUCCUUGAGUACGCACAACGUUGGCGGAAUUCGUCGUGUAGCGGUGAAAUGCUUAGAUAUGACGAAGAACUCCGAUUGCGAAGGCAGCUGACGGGAGCGCAACUGACGCUGAAGCUCGAAGGUGCGGGUAUCGAACAGGAUUAGAUACCCUGGUAGUCCGCACAGUAAACGAUGGAUGGCCGCUGUUGGUACCUGGUAUCAGCGGCUAAGCGAAAGCAUUAAGCAUCCCACCUGGGGAGUA